GGCGGGAGGGGCACAUGGAUGGGAACAUCCCAGCGGGUCCAGGCCUCUGCUCCCCCCAGCUCCUCCUCCCUGGCCGGCAGCUCUUCUGGGCUCCCGAGGUGCUGCGCAGCCCCUUCCCUGGCCCUGGGACCCCCAGUGCCUGAGAUGAAAGAGGAGUUGCUUCCAUGGAGGGUCCCAGUGCAGGCUGGGGGGCGCUGGCCCUCAGGACACCAGGCCCCCAAGACAUAGGGACACCAGAAGCCCCCGCUCUGCCUCCAAGGUCCAGUAGCCCCAAAGCCCCUGCUCAGAGGCCAGCGAUGGGAGGGCAGGGCCUGCCUGUGGGACCCACCAUGGGCCCAGCAAUCCCCAGGCCCUGGGCAGACAGCAGCGCAGCCUGUGAGUCCAGGGCUGGGGAGCAGGCAGGUGACAACCAGUGUCCUACUUUCCUGCAGGACCCAAAACACCCAAAUCAACAGGGCGGAGAAGGCCCAGAGGAGGGGACCUGAGGGAGCCAGCCGGGCGCUCAGCCUGCUUCGCUGGGAUGCUUGUCGAGGUCGGGACGGCACCACCAAACUCACCUCUGUGCGCCCUGCGGGGCCCAGGAGACUCGGUCCUCCCCGGGCUCCCCCAGGCCUGGGGUGGACGUUGGAAUAAAGUGGGGACAACACGAUGAGACCCCAGCCCCGGAGGUGCCCUCGGCAGGAGCCCAAGAUCAAAGCUAGGAGAUUCGUGGCUGGACAGCACCACCUGGUGGACACAUUGGAGAUUACCAAAGCCAAACAGUCAAUUCGUUCUUGGUUCUGGGAUUUUCUUAAUUGGGUCUCAGCUAGGGCUUCCUUUCUCUUUCCCCAGUAGCAAGGGCUUUGUGACUAUCAGAAACACCUGCCAGGCCUGGGCAAUAUGGCGAGACUUCAUCUCUACAAAAAAAAAAACACACACACACACAAAAAUUAGUGAGGCGUGGUGGUCCCAGAUACUCAGGACGCUGAGAUGGGACGAUCGCUUGAACCUGGGAGGUCGAGGCUGCAGUGAGUCGUGAUCAUGCCACCGCACUCCAGUCAGGGUGACAGAGAGAGACCCUGUCUCUAAAGAAAGAAAAGAUAAGAAAAGGCCGGGAGCAGUAGCUCACGCCUGUAAUCCUAACACUUUGGGAGGCCGAGGUGGGCGGAUUAUCUGAGGUCGGGAGUUCGAGACCAGCCUGACCAACAUGGAGAAACCCUGUCUCUACUAAAAAAUACAAAAAUUAGCCAGGCAUGGUGGCGCAUGCCUGUAAUCCCAGGUACUUGGGAGGCUGAGGCAGGAAAACCGCUUGAACCCGGGAGGCAGAAGUUGCAGUGAGCCGAGAUCACGCCAUUGCACUCCAGCCUGGGCAACAAGAGUGAAACUCCAUCUCAAAAAAAAAAAAGAAAGAAAGAAAAGAGAAGAAGCCCCUGUCUUCUAAUAAGAUGUUGUUGGUUUUCAGAGAGCCCAAUCCAGGCACUUCAAACAAGGCAGGGAAAGCAAUGGCCCUGAAGAAAGUUUCUCUUCAACAAGCCCCUCCCUCCCUGGCACUGGCACACUGGCACCCUGGCAUUCACCCACCAGCCCCUCCCUCCCUAACACUGGCAUUCUGGCAUUCACCCACCAGCCCCUCCAUCCCUGACACUGGCACCCUGGCAGUCACCCACCAGCCCCUCCAUCCCUGACACUGGCAUUCUGGCAUUCACCCACCAGCCCCUCCCGUCCCUGACACUGGCACCCUGGCAUUCACCCACUGUCCAGGGCAACUAACCUUUCCUCCCACCACUGACGGGAAGGCACCCUGGCCUACCACUUUUGAGGGGAAAAAAAUUAGAAAUCCCUGGCCAAAGAGGGGACAAAUUGAGCCUAAAAUCAAGCCUUGGUAUCUCGCUUUUUAAAUCUACUUUUACCUUUUGUGUAUUGGUUGUGUAAUUUUUUGUGUACUCAUUGUGUAUAAUUGCUGAAUACACAAUGAAUACACAAAAGCUAUAAAUAGAUUUAAAGAGAGAAACCAAACCAAAACCCAUCGGUAAUGCACUGGAAAAACAAGCCUCCAACUCUCUACUCAGAACAUUGUCAAUUAAAAGAAAAGAAUUAGGAAUUUCCCUUUUAACUAUAUUUCAGGAUAACUCAAUAACUCUAGUGGACAACAGCAAGUUUUUUUGGUUUUUGUUUGUUUGGUUUCUUUUUUUUGAGAUGGAGUCUUGCUCUAUUGCCCAGGCUGGAGUGCAAUGGCACAACCUCGGCUCACUGCAGCCUCUGUCUCCUGGGUUCAAGUGAUUCUCCUGCCUCAGACUCCUGAGUAGCUGAGAGUACAGGUGCCCGCAACCAGGCCCUGCUAAUUUUUUAUAUUUUUAGUAGAGAUGGGGUUUCACCAUGUUGGCCAGGGUGGUCUCAAACUCCUGACCUCAGGUGAUCCACCCACCUCAGCCUCUCAAAGUGCUGGGAUUACAGGUGUGAGCCACCACACCCAGCCUGUUUGGUUGUUUUAUUUAAGAGACAGGGACUCGCUCCAUCACUCAGGCUGAAGUGCAGCGGUGUAAUCACAGCUCACUGCAGCCUUAACCUCUUGGGCUCAAAGGAUCCUUCUACCUCAGCCCCUGAGUAGCUGAGACUACAGGCGCGCACCACCACACCUGGCUAAUGUUUUAUUUUUUUGUAGAGAUGGGGUCUUGCCAUGUUGCCCAGGCUGGAUUCAAGCUCCUGGCCUCUCUCAGCUUGGCCCACAAAAGCUCUGGGAUUACAGGCGUGAGCCACUGUGCCCAGCCUUUUUUGUUGUUGUUGUUUUUAACAGAACAAUUUCAGCUACUCAUUGUGAAGAGACAAGAUCAUGAGAGAAACCGCGAUUUUGCCACCUCUCAUGACAUAAUUGUUUCUCACAAGGGUCAUGGAUGAGAUCAGUAAUGACAAAACAAGGGCAUCACAGGGUAGGUCCGGGCCGUGGCCACCUGGACCCACAGGGUGGAUCCCGGCUAUGACCACCUGGACCUACUGGGCACACUUAGCAUCACAGGGUGGGCCCAGGCAAUGGGCACCUGGACCCACUGAGCACACUUAGCAUUACAGGUGCUUCCAUGUGGCUCUCACAGCUCUGCCCACGAAGGCUGGCAAAGAAAGAUGAGCCCGAAUCUAAGGGCGUUUCUGCAGCACAGCUUCCAUUUGCAGGAGACACGGGGCGAGGCGACACCACAGAGAGGAAAACAGCUGCGCGAUAGGCGACACAUUUGCAGGACAGCUGAUCUGGUUUCUGCAACAAAUCACAAGUGGCGGGAGGAGCAAUGGGGGUCGGGGCGGCGCCUGAUCUAGAGUAAGAGAGGUUCCAGAGGCGCCACCACAAAACUUAAACUGUGGGCCUUGUUAGGAACCUGUGUGUUCCAUCUGAUGGACAUAAGCAAACAAUCAGGGGAAUGUGAUUCCAGAUGGGGCCUGAGCGGGUGCCAAGGAAUGACUGUUAAUUUGAACAUUGCCCUAAGGGAGAUGCAAGUGUGUUCCAGAGUUUCCCAUACUUGGCGCCUUGCAUCCUGAAGUUCAUAGGAACAAAAUUUCAGAACGUUUUUGCUACAGGAUGGAAAAUGCUUCAGCCACAGGGGAAAAGCAAAGAGAAAGACAACAGCAAUGCAUGAAACAAGUGUGGUGAUUAUCGAUAAAGCAUGUGUGGUGAUCACUG
rnacentral:lncRNA from 1 species